rnacentral:rRNA from 1 species
GAUGAACGCUGGCGGCGUGCCUAAUACAUGCAAGUCGAGCGAACGGACGAGAAGCUUGCUUCUCUGAUGUUAGCGGCGGACGGGUGAGUAACACGUGGAUAACCUACCUAUAAGACUGGGAUAACUUCGGGAAACCGUAGCUAAUACCGGAUAAUAUUUUGAACCGCAUGGUUCAAAAGUGAAAGACGGUCUUGCUGUCACUUAUAGAUGGAUCCGCGCUGCAUUAGCUAGUUGGUAAGGUAACGGCUUACCAAGGCAACGAUUCAUAGCCGACCUGAGAGGGUGAUCGGCCACACUGGAACUGAGACACGGUCCAGACUCCUGCGGGAGGCAGCAGUAGGGAAUCUUCCGCAAUGGGCGAAAGCCUGACGGAGCAACGCCGCGUGAGUGAUGAAGGUCUUCGGAUCGUAAAACUCUGUUAUUAGGGAAGAACAUAUGUGUAAGUAACUGUGCACAUCUUGACGGUACCUAAUCAGAAAGCCACGGCUAACUACGUG